ACUGCUCAGUAACACGUAGACAACCUACCUUAAGGAGAGGGAUAACCUCGGGAAACUGAGGACAAUACCCCAUAGAUUACAAGUCCUGGAAAGGCAGUAAUCCAAAAGAUAUUGAUCUAAUGCCGAAUGAUAUUGCCUUAAGAUGGGUCUGCGGCGGAUUAGGCUGACGGCGGGGUAACGGCCCACCGUACCUUUGAUCCGUACCGGCUAUGAGAGUAGGAGCCGGGAGAUGGAUACUGAGACAAAGAUCCAGGUUCUACGGAACGCAGCAGUCGCGAAACCUCCGCAAUGUCCGAAAGGAUGACGGGGGGACCCUAAGUGAUCCGUUACAAACGGGUCUUUUGUAUGACCUAAAAAGUCGUACGAAUAAGGGCUGGGUAAGACUGGUGCCAGCCUCCGCGGUAACACCAGCAGCUCAAGUUGUGCCCACGUUUAUUGGGUUUAAAGCGUACGUAGUCGGUGAUGCAAGUUCCCUGUAAAAUUCUCUGGCUUAACCAGGGAAACGCAGAGAAUACUACACCACUAGGGGUCGGGAGAGGUAUGAGGUAUUCCUCGGGUAGCGGUGAAAUGCUAUAAUCCUAGGAAGACCACCAGUAGCGUAGGCGUCAUACUAGAACGAGCCCGACGAUGAGGAACGAGAGCUAGGGGAGCAAACCGGAUUAGAUACCCGGGUAGUCCUAGCCGUAAACGAUGUAGACUGAGUGUCUCCAUACCCUCGGGGUACGGAGGUGCUGAAGGGAAACCGUUAAGUCUACCAUCUGGGAAGUACGGUCGCAAGGCUGAAACUUAAAGGAAUUGGCGGGGGAGCAC
rnacentral:rRNA from 1 species